UCCACGCCCUAAACGAUGAGAGCUAAACGUCGGGUCUUAGGAUUCGGUGUUGGAGCUAACGCAUUAAGCUCUCCGCCUGGGGAGUACGGUCGCAAGAUUAAAACUCAAAGGAAUUGACGGGGGCCCGCACAAGUGGUGGAGCAUGUGGUUUAAUUCGAAGCAACGCGCAGAACCUUACCAACCCUUGACAUAGAUAUUGCAGAUGCCAGAGAUGGCGUCCUUCAGUUCGGCUG
rnacentral:rRNA from 1 species